UGGGGAAUAUUGCACAAUGGGCGAAAGCCUGAUGCAGCAACGCCGCGUGAAGGAAGAAGGUCUUCGGAUCGUAAACUUCUGUCCUUGGGGAAGAAGAACUGACGGUACCCAAGGAGGAAGCCCCGGCUAACUACGUGCCAGCAGCCGCGGUAAUACGUAGGGGGCAAGCGUUAUCCGGAAUUAUUGGGCGUAAAGAGUACGUAGGUGGCAACUUAAGCGCAGGGUUUAAGGCAAUGGCUCAACCAUUGUUCGCCCUGCGAACUGGGAUGCUUGAGUGCAGGAGAGGAAAGCGGAAUUCCUAGUGUAGCGGUGAAAUGCGUAGAUAUUAGGAGGAACACCAGUGGCGAAGGCGGCUUGCUGGACAAUAACUGACGCUGAGGCGCGAAAGCGUGGGGAGCAAACAGGAUUAGAUACCC
rnacentral:rRNA from 1 species